ACGGGUGGCGCGCGAACCCCGCGGGCCGAGGGGACCCCGCCUCCGGGCCGGCAGGGCGCAGGGCGAGGGGGAGCGCACCCCGACUUCCCUGGAUCACAUGGGCUGCGGGGGGCGGGUGGAUCGGGGGAGGGGAGGCGCGGGGAGCUUGCUGCGGCUCCUCACCCGGACCGGGGAGAAGACGCCGCCCCCCACCCUCUCUAGUUCGCCCUCUCCAUUCAAGUUUGCCGGCCCCUGCCGCCGAGAUCCGGAGAUGGCACCAGCCGCCCGCCCUGCGCUGUGCCCUGUUUCCAGCCACGACUCAGAAAUUUAGGUCAAGGACGUCGGGAGCAAACCCACACCCCGGCGCUUCUCUGGCGGCCCCCGAGACCCCCCAGGAUCCGGGGGCUUCAGGAUAACGGAGACCCUCCUGCACAAACACCAGCCACAAGUUUUAUUUUCCUUUUGCGCUGGAAGUUCUCUCUGGCUCUCGCUCCACACCGGCACGUCUUGCGCGGUUCCCCGCCCUUCCCCAGUAGAGGAUUAAGAGACAACGGAAGACACUCAACACCAAAACUGUACCAAAUCCACUGUGGGUUUUGGAAAAAUGGAAUAUUUGGAAAAUCUCAACACCAGCCAUAUCCUUGAGUGACCAGACCCUCAAUCUCCCCGUUCCCUGAAUUGCAGUAAUUCCUCCUUGACAGGAUUGAUGGGGUGAAGGUGAGAGGCUGAAGUGAACCAAUGUUGUAAAAGUUCCUUUUUCACUGUAAACCUGAUUCGUGUUUAUUAUCAAUCACUACUCAAUAUAAUCAUAUUGAGAAGGUGCUCUAAGACUUUAAACCACAAACCCGAACAUUUCCUGUCACUCCAAGCUCCUUCCCAAAUCAUCUGGGGUCUCAUGUGUUGAACGGCCAGUUGUUAUGAUGAUUGUUUAUUAUGAUUGAUUAUUCUCAACAGUAUGCAGACAACAGAGCUCAUUGUAUUGUGUUGGGAUUUUUACAGUAGAACCACAGGCCAUCCUAGGUAGAAAGGACUUUCCUAGUCUAAUACCCUCAUUAUACAUCAGGGUCUCAGAGGUGCCAAACUCACCAGCCUACACCCCAGCCCCACCCUCUGAUCAUCAGUCCAAUUCGGUGUGGCCUCUGCUGCCUGCAUGUUUAUUCCGUCCCUCACAAGGCGAGAGUUGGGGGCCCUUCUUCUGUGGUAUAGACUUCCACAAGCUGACACUUACAGAACUGAUUUAAAAUCCAGAGAGGGUCUAGAGCUGCAGUUACAAAGUCGGUGGCUUAGAAAGAACUGGAUUUUAAGUUUCCAUUACUACAUUUUUACUCAUUUAUUUUUAAUUUAUAUAUGGUAACCUUUACUCUUUUUGGUCUGUAAUUCUAUGAGUGUUGACUUAUGCAUAGAGUCAUGUAACCACCACCAUAAUCAAGAUGCAGAACAGUUUCAUUGUCCAAAAAAAUUCCCUCUUGGCUGCCCCUAUGCACUACAUUAUUUGUAAUAGCUUAUUAUUAUUAUUAUUAUUUUAUGCAUUUUUUUCUCCAGCUCACUCAAUGUAGCCCCUGCCUCAGGAGAAUACAAGCAGCAUAAUAUCAGUCCUCAACCCUCUGAAAGUCUCAACAGCCCAAGACAAUGUUGGACACUUCCUUCUUCAAACUCAAUCUUCCAGGAUGGGUUUAAACACAUGUUGAUGCCACUCAAAUUGAAAUUUCCAGCCUCACCCUUCCUGAAGAGCUCCAGGCUCUGGUCAGUUUUGUAUUCAACAUCUCCACUUAGCCUUUCUGAAGCAAGCCCAAGUUCAAAUCCAUCUUUCUUGCUACUGCAUCCCAGAUCUCCCACCCGAGGCCCUGCAACAGCUCACAAAACAGUCUUCCCACAUCCACCCUUACUCCACUUAUGUGCCUGGAAAUCUUUCCCAGACCUCUCUGACAGGGUCCAAUGCCCUUAGAUAUGCAAUUACCUUACCAGAACGUCCUCUGUGUACCUUACCCUGUAUGAUCAUUUGCUUUAUUGCCCAUCUCCUCUAAGCCAGAAGCUCCUGUCCCUUUCUGCUCUCCAUGUACCAGCACAGUGCCUGCUGGCGC
rnacentral:lncRNA from 1 species